rnacentral:rRNA from 1 species
UACGAAGGGGGCUAGCGUUGCUCGGAAUUACUGGGCGUAAAGGGCGCGUAGGCGGCACUGUUAGUCAGGCGUGAAAGUCCUGGGCUCAACCUGGGAACUGCGCUUGAUACGGCAGAGCUAGAGGAUGGAAGAGGGUCGCGGAAUUCCCAGUGUAGAGGUGAAAUUCGUAGAUAUUGGGAAGAACACCGGUGGCGAAGGCGGCGACCUGGUCCAUUACUGACGCUGAGGCGCGACAGCUAGGGGAGCAAACGGG